rnacentral:rRNA from 1 species
AGGGCACAUGGCGGAUGCCUUGGCUCUCGGAGGCGAUGAAGGACGUGAUAAGCUGCGAUAAGCUGCGGGUAGGUGCAAAUGACCUUUGAUCCGCGGAUUUCCGAAUGGGACAACCCGGUACUUUGAAGAAGUAUCAUCCUGCAUUGCAGGAGGCUAACGCAGGGAACUGAAACAUCUUAGUACCUGCAGGAAAAGAAAAUAAACAAUGAUUCCCCCAGUAGUGGCGAGCGAACGGGGAACAGCCCAAACCAUCCAUGUUACGGCAUGGGUGGGGUUGUAGGACCACGCCGUGGCAAGAAAGUUGGUGAGCAGAAUGUUCUGGAAAGUACAGCCAUAGAGCAUGACAGCUGCGUAUGCGAAGCCAAGCGAAGCCUAGUGGUAUCCUGAGUAGCGCGGAGCACGAGGAAUUCUGCGUGAAUCUGCCGGGACCAUCCGGUAAGGCUAAAUACUCCCGAGAGACCGAUAGUGAACCAGUACUGUGAAGGAAAGGUGAAAAGCACUUCGAACAGAAGAGUGAAAUAGUUCCUGAAACCAUGUGCCUACAAGCGGUCGGAGCACCUUCUGGUGUGACGGCGUGCCUUUUGCAUAAUGAACCUACGAGUUACUUUUUCCGGCGAGGUUAAGGAUUUCAGAUCUGCAGCCGAAGCGAAAGCGAGUCUGAACAGGGCGUAUAGUCGGAAGGAGUAGACGCGAAACCAAGUGAUCUACCCUUGGGCAGGUUGAAGGAUGGGUAACACCAUCUGGAGGACCGAACCAAUAAGCGUUGAAAAGCUUCUGGAUGACCUGAGGGUGGGGGUGAAAGGCUAAUCAAACUUGGAGAUAGCUCGUACUCCCCGAAAUGCAUUUAGGUGCAGCCUUGACUUAUACUGGCAUGAGGUAGAGCGACUGAUAAGAUGCGAGGGCUUCACCGCCUAUCAAGUCUUGACAAACUCCGAAUGCGUGUCAGUUCUAUGUCAGGAGUGAGGGCAUGGGUGCUAAGGUCCAUGUCCUAAAGGAGAACAAUCCGGACCAACAGCUAAGGUCCCGAAAUGAAUACUAAGUUGAACUAACGAAGUCAGAUUGCUAAGACAGCUAGGAUGUUGGCUUGGAAGCAGCCAUUCAUUUAAAGAGUGCGUAACAGCUCACUAGUCGAGGAGUUUGGCGUGGAUAAUAAUCGGGCAUAAGUAUUCUACCGAAGCUUUGGGAUGAGAAAUCAUCGGUAGGGGAGCAUUCCACUCGGCGUCGAAGGUGAGGCGUGAGCCUUGCUGGAGCGUGUGGAAAAGCAAAUGUAGGUAUAAGUAACGAUAAGGCAGGCGAGAAACCUGCCCGCCGAAAGACUAAGGUUUCCUGAUCAACGCUAAUCGGAUCAGGGUAAGUCGGGUCCUAAGGCUCAGCCGAACGGCGAGGCCGAUGGCAGAACCGGUUAAUAUUCCGGUACUACCUGUGGGAGUGACGUGGAGACGGAGUCGUGACAGCGCCGCGGACUGACGGAAUAGUCCGUUGAAGGGUGUAGAUGCUGAUUGUUCCAGGCAAAUCCGGAGCAAGAGUCGAACCUGACAGUAUGGAGCGUUCUUAGAACAAUCCAAUAGUGCGUGUAAUCAUACUUCCAAGAAAAUCCGCUAAACUUAAUCCUGCAGGUACCCGUACCGCAAACGGACACACGUAGUCGGGUUGAAUAUACUAAGGCGCUUGAGUGAUUCACGGUUAAGGAACUAGGCAAACUGACCCUGUAACUUCGGGAUAAAGGGUCCUCGCUUUACGGCGAGGCGCAGAGAAUAGGUCCAGGCAACUGUUUAACAAAAACACAGGGCUGUGCAAAAUUGAAAGAUGAAGUAUACAGCCUGACACCUGCCCGGUGCUGGAAGGUUAAGAGGAGAUGUCAUCGCAAGAGAAGCAUUGAAUUGAAGCCCCAGUAAACGGCGGCCGUAACUAUAACGGUCCUAAGGUAGCGAAAUUCCUUGUCGGGUAAGUUCCGACCUGCACGAAUGGUGUAAUGAUCUGGACGCUGUCUCAACCGUGAGCUCAGUGAAAUUGUAGUAUCGGUGAAGAUGCCGAUUACCCGCGAUGGGACGAAAAGACCCCGUGAACCUUUACUAUAGCUUAACAUUGAAUUUGGGUAAUUGAUGUGUAGGAUAGGCCGGAGGCUU